GAUGAACGCUGGCGGCGUGCUUAACACAUGCAAGUCGAACGGGAAAUAUUUCAUUGAGACUUCGGUGGAUUUGAUUUAUUUCUAGUGGCGGACGGGUGAGUAACGCGUGGGUAACCUGCCUUAUACAGGGGGAUAACAGUCAGAAAUGGCUGCUAAUACCGCAUAAGCGCACAGAGCUGCAUGGCUCAGUGUGAAAAACUCCGGUGGUAUAAGAUGGACCCGCGUUGGAUUAGCUAGUUGGUGGGGUAACGGCCCACCAAGGCGACGAUCCAUAGCCGGCCUGAGAGGGUGAACGGCCACAUUGGGACUGAGACACGGCCCAGACUCCUACGGGAAGCAGCAGUGGGGAAUAUUGCACAAUGGGGGAAACCCUGAUGCAGCGACGCCGCGUGAAGGAAGAAGUAUCUCAGUAUGUAAACUUCUAUCAGCAGGGAAGAUAGUGACGGUACCUGACUAAGAAGCCCCGGCUAACUACGUG
rnacentral:rRNA from 1 species